GAUGAACGCUGGCGGCGUGCCUAAUACAUGCAAGUCGAGCGAACGGACGAGAAGCUUGCUUCUCUGAUGUUAGCGGCGGACGGGUGAGUAACACGUGGAUAACCUACCUAUAAGACUGGGAUAACUUCGGGAAACCGUAGCUAAUACCGGAUAAUAUUUUGAACCGCAUGGUUCAAAAGUGAAAGACGGUCUUGCUGUCACUUAUAGAUGGAUCCGCGCUGCAUUAGCUAGUUGGUAAGGUAACGGCUUACCAAGGCAACGAUGCAUAGCCGACCUGCGAGGGUGAUCGGCCACACUGGAACUGAGACACGGUCCAGACUCCUACGGGAGGCAGCAGUAGGGAAUCUUCCGCAAUGGGCGAAAGCCUGACGGAGCAACGCCGCGUGAGUGAUGAAGGUCCUCGGAUCGUAAAACUCUGUUAUUAGGGAAGAACAUAUGUGUAAGUAACUGUGCACAUCUUGACGGUACCUAAUCAGAAAGCCACGGCUAACUACGUG
rnacentral:rRNA from 1 species